GUCAAAGUAGAAAUCCAGCUAGAGCAGUAGACACCAUAUCAUCAACCGAUGUUCAAUUUCGAGGGAAUAUUUGUGGUCCAACAAGGCGGCACCAUGAAAGCAAAUGGUCUGUUCAGUAUCUGGAUUGGUGAGAGAUUCGUAGUCGUCGCCGGCAUCAACCCCCGCGGACCGGAGAUCGACUACAAUCCGGUGUCUCUUACUCCGGUAGGUCUGAUCGGUAUCACGUACAAAAAUGUCAGCAUGAUUGUUACAAUCUCCAGUCCGCUCCACACUGUCUAUCAUCACCACCGGAAAUAGAUUACCACUACCAGCGAAGCGAAAGUAAACAAAUUAACCAUUGAGAGCAGUCAGUAUUUACCUAAAAUAUCUAAUAAUAACUCGCUCCUGGAUAACCAGUGCGUGUUUGGCAUCUUACAGAAAGAUACAUAUGCUUAAAAAUGUGUAUCUAUCUUGCAAUUCGUAUUGACGAAGCGUUAUUUACACAAAUUUAUGACUGCUUGGUACCGGGUUGAAAUUAGAACUUCUCGAAGAAAAAGCUUUUCUUUCAUGAUUACAUGGUUUGCCAUCGGGUAUGCUGUUGAUUUCCUAUUCUUAAUAUAUACCAUAUUAAAGCUAUUUCUUGUCUUGAUUUGAUUAUUGUUCAUGGAAAUCUAUUAAAUUAAAAUAACUGUAGUGUACGGCGAAUAGUUGUUUAUGGCAAAAGUCGUGUACGGUGAAUAGUUAAAGUCAUGUACGGCGAAUAGUUGCAGCGUAUUGGCCAAAGUUGUUGCAAAUUAAAAUGAUUUUAAGAAAAUACAUUUUCAAUGUACAUAUAUAUUCUUAAAGUCGGACUUUUUCCCCUUUUAAUGAUGUAUAAAUCGUAAUUCUAAACUUUGUUUUUGCCCACCGAAUUAAUACGCAAACACAGCACAUAUGCGGAAAUUAAAACAAUUGCUACGCCAUGUGCGUUUGCGGUUGAACGCUACAACGCUGUGAACAGAAAGUCAGCCGAGUUCCAAUAAUUACACGAGUUGUAUAUCAAAUCCUGAUUGGAAUCCACUUGUUAGUAAAUAUUUUAUCGAUUCAUCUUGAUUUUAAAACAUAAAGAAAUAAUAAAACAAAUCGCUAAAAAGCUGCUUUUUUAGCGGGAAACAAUAUGAAUUUUAUCGUUUGACGUGUUAAUAAUGAGGUCAUGAGCACGCGCGCUUAAUAUUUGCAAAAAGAUAAUGUUUUUUGCUGUCUGUGUUGCAUUUUGUGUUUAACAAAUACCACAUCUUGGGAUCAAAUAGUUUGGCUUGUUGAAUCUGAUUCGAUUUCACUAAAGAUUAUUACUUUAUAGUUUAUUCCUAGUAAUAUGACCAUACUCCACACAUGACUGAUAUACCGGUAAGAACUUCCUAUUGACCAUGAUAUAAAAAAUAUAUCAGGAAACGUUAUAUCAGGCAGUUAUCAAUGCGGUUGUAUGAUAAAACGUUGCCUGAUAUUUUAUUUUAUAACUGCAGCUUUUUAGCGAUUUUUUCAUUAUUUCUUUAAAAUUGGGGGCGUAGAGGUAUGAUAAACAGAAAAACAGGUUAGAUCUGUUUGUAAUAUAUUGUAAUAUAUCAGGCUCGGCCUUGCCUGAUAUAUAACAUAAAGAUCAGGUAGUAACCUGUUAUUCGCUAUGUAGCAUGUGCCCGUAAUACAAAACAUUUUUUUUAAAUAUCAACAAUGCAUCAGACGUAUUCUUUGGCCAUUAACGGUCUCAUCGUAAAGAAUAUAAUUGUAUUUGUUUGUUUUAUACCAAGAUGGUCACGUAUUUGCGAAAUUUUCAUUUAUUUUCCCUUACAAACUCAAAACUAUCUGCCGUACACAAUUUAAUUUUAUUUUGCUAUACGCCGUACACGUCAGGUUCUAUUCGCCGUACACAACGAAGUUUAUAUUUUAGCCAAACAUUUGCAUACUAACUUGAUUUGUGGGCUGAAGCUUGCAAAAACCGAUAGUUUCUAUAAUUAUUUGCACACCAUUGAAAUAUUCGGCAAAAUAAUUAUAUCUUCCUCGGACAAAAGGAAACAAUAUGUCCCAAUGAACUUAAUUUUCGGUACCAGGUACCUGAUGAUUUAUCUAUUUCAACACUCGAAUGUAUUUAUAAAGAACUCCAACUACUUACGAUAGAAGUUUGAUAUGUCCACUAUUAAUUUGUCACACAGUUUUUUGAAAACGUUCGCGAUAAAAAUGGUAAAACUUAUUCUUUUCACGAGCACUACCUCUUGCGUGAUGUUUACUUUCGCUUCGCUGGUUAUCUAUUUCCGGUGGUGAUGAUAGACAGUGCUCCAAGGCAAGAAUUCCUUUCAGUUAUGCGGCAGUAGCAAGGCCGCCGCUAUAUGGGAUUAUUUCACCACCGCCAUUGAUAACCUAAAUUAAGCGGCGACAUUUGGUGCAGCGCGUCACUUAGUGUUUCAUCAUCAUCAUCAUUAGACGCCUGUGUGGAUACAGAUCAUGAAUAUACAUAUCAGAGGGGCUUCAUAAGCCUUACCCUUCUCAAUUACAGAUGUCUGUCUCCGCAAAGGUUUUCCAUUGCAGAUAGAAGUUUCAGCUCUAUUUUUUUGCCCGAUAUGGUAUGUGGACCAACCGAUGAUAAGCACGGGGCGUGCCGUCAGCAUGUUCUGAGAGGUCACAGUUUAGACUGUGUCGACAUGUCAUUAGACAGCUUCAUCAAUAAUAAUGAUACCAACCAAAAUGCAGCAAUUCAACAGGAAGACUUUACUGCGCCCGAUACAGUGUAUUGGGCAACGUUGCGGGCAACUAACCGACGAGCGACGGACGGAUAUGUCAAGCAAGCAGCCCAGUUUACUUGAGAGAUUCCUGCGCUUCUGUACCUGCUGUAUAAGUAAGCGUUGAUUUUUUUAGCAUUUAUCUUAGAUUUUUUACUCGAGAAAUCAAAUUUUCACAUUUUCGUUUAUAGCAAUACAUUAAAUGCAUGAACAACGUC